rnacentral:rRNA from 1 species
UACGUAGGGUGCGAGCGUUGUCCGGAAUUAUUGGGCGUCAAGGGCUCGUAGGCGGUUUGUCGCGUCGGGCGUGAAAACUCAGGGCUUAACCCUGAGCCUGCUUCCGAUACGGGCAGACUAGAGGUAUGCAGGGGAGAAUGGAAUUCCUGGUGUAGCGGUGAAAUGCGCAGAUAUCAGGAGGAACACCGGUGGCGAAGGCGGUUCUCUGGGCAUUACCUGACGCUGAGGAGCGAAAGUGUGGGGAGCGAACAGG